rnacentral:lncRNA from 10 species
UGGAAUCCUUCUCACGAGGCCUCAUCUCUCUGACUUUCGUCGGGAAAUGUUCUCUGCUUUUAAAGGAUCAUGUAAUUAUUUUGAGCCUACCCGAUAAUCCAGGAUAAUCCCCUCAUCUAAAAAUCUGUUACCUUAACCACAUCUGCAAAGUCCCUGUUGCCGUGUAAUGUAAGCUAUUCACAGGUUCUGGGGAUUAGGAAAAGGACAUCUUUGGUGGGGGCCUUAUUCAGCCUACCACAUAGAGAUUAGUACCUGAAAAGCCAGCAGGUGAGAAGCUAGACAGAGCAGCCGGUGGCAGCUAAAGGAGAAAGGGGGCGAGAGCUGGAGAAGUCGCACUUCCGCCGAUGGCGCAGCAAAGGGGAUGUUGCCCUGGAGGACUCAGGGAACGGAACUGGGCUAUCAGCCGAGAAUGGGGCUCCACUCAAAAGGAGGAACCAACAGGAGACACAAGGAACCCCAGCAGGAAGAAGUCGGAGAUGGAGGAGGGGAAGUCAUAGCUGGAGGAGACGUGUGUUAGGAAGCUACAAUGGCAGCUCCCUAGUGGAGGUGUUUCGGAAAAACUCCGAAGAUUCCACUUGAGAAAAUCAUCGGCCUUCAGACAACGUCUAUGCCAGAUAAUGCUACCAAAUCACAACCUUGCCUUUCCUCCCUACUGCUGUUCUGAUGUGGGAGGACCCAAAGGCAGCAGAAGAGCCAAAGAAGAGUAGCAGAAAGGCAUAUCCACAGCUCUUCAAAUAAGCAAUGUGAUGUUAGCAAAAGUGCAGGGGCUCCUUGAGAACUUUCCAGGGCUAACCAGCUGCUGAGGAGUGGCCUCCAGGAAAGAGAGAAGCACUCUGAUUCAGGCAGUGAUUUACACCUAAAAUACCAACUCCAUCAUAUCUUCAGAACAAUUCUUCUAGACCUUGCAUCUAAAUAUGAAAGGGAUCAGCAUGUGCAAAGAUGAAGAGGCAUAAGGACUGACCAGUGGGUCACGGCAAUGAGACAUUUACUGCUGACCUCCAAGAGAAGACUUCCAUUGAAUGAGAGGAAGAUCUACACUACUAAUGAUCAAACUGUGAGUGUUUUAGCUUUGUAGACUUAUCAGGAACUUGGGAGAUCAAGAAGACAGGAUCAAACAGCAAAUGGAGCUUUAUCAGAAAUGAAGAAAAGCAUUUCUCCACAGUCCUAAGCUAAACCCUUUCUGCUAGUCCCAGUUCUUAUAUGUGCAUCAAGGCAAAAAAACAUUAAUCAGAACAGGAAUGUUUGAUUGCUCAUUCAAAUUUGAAAUAAGCAGCUUCCAUUCUUCUAACCUUCCCUGGUGGGGCCAUAACAUUAUCAAUCAAUAUCAAGUCUGGCAUAUCAUUGGCUAUCACUAUCCAGUGAGUAUCUGAGGCAGCUGAAAGAAAUUGGGGCAUCCAUGUAAGAAUAUUCAUUUUCUAUCAUUAUUUACUUAAAUAUGUAAUAUAUCAAGAUCUGUUAGACAUAUUUAAGUAUAUAUACUUAUAUGAGGUUGGGGGUCCCUGCAAGAAGUACCAAGUGUUUCUAGAAGAAAUGUACUUGAAUAUAAUCGCUGUAUAAUCACUGUGAGAACAGAGUUCCAUAUCUGUCCUGUACAUGCUUGUCUCUAG